rnacentral:tRNA from 1 species
GCCUGUGUGGUGGAAUUGGCAGACACGCUAGAUUUAGGAUCUAGUGCCGCAAGGUGUGUGGGUUCGAGUCCCUCCACAGGUACCA